rnacentral:rRNA from 1 species
AUUGAACGCUGGCGGCAGGCCUAACACAUGCAGGUCGAACGGUAACAGGAAGCAGCUUGCUGCUUCGCUGACGAGUGGCGGACGGGUGAGUAAUGUCUGGGGAACUGCCUGAUGGAGGGGGAUAACUACUGGAAACGGUAGCUAAUACCGCAUAACGUCGCAAGACCAAAGAGGGGGACCUUAGGGCCUCUUGCCAUCGGAUGUGCCCAGAUGGGAUUAGCUAGUAGGUGGGGUAACGGCUCACCUAGGCGACGAUCCCUAGCUGGUCUGAGAGGAUGACCAGCCACACUGGAACUGAGACACGGUCCAGACUCCUACGGGAGGCAGCAGUGGGGAAUAUUGCACAAUGGGCGCAAGCCUGAUGCAGCCAUGCCGCGUGUAUGAAGAAGGCCUUCGGGUUGUAAAGUACUUUCAGCGGGGAGGAAGGGAGUAAAGUUAAUACCUUUGCUCAUUGACGUUACCCGCAGAAGAAGCACCGGCUAACUCCGUG